rnacentral:rRNA from 1 species
AUUGAACGCUGGCGGCAGGCCUAACACAUGCAAGUCGAGCGGAGCGGCGGACGGGGGAGUAAUGCCUAGGAAUCUGCCUGGGAGUGGGGGAGAAGGUCCGGAAACGGGCGCUAAUACCGCAUACUAUCAGAUGAGCCUAGGUCGGAUUAGCUAGGUGUUGGGGGAAAGGCCUACAAAGACGACGAUCCGUAACUGGUCUGAGAGGAGGAGCAGCCACACGGGAACUGAGCCACGGUCCAGACUCCUACGGGAGGCAGCAGUGGGGAAUAUUGGACAAUGGGCGAAAGCCUGAUCCAGCCAUGCCGCGUGUGUGAAGAAGGUCUUCGGAUUGUAAAGCACUUUCAGUUGGGAGGCGUUACCAACAGAAUAAGCACCGGCUAACUCCGUGACAGCAGCCGCGGUAAUUC